rnacentral:rRNA from 1 species
CUACGGGGUGCUCCAGUGAGGAAUAUUGCACAAUGGGGGGAACCCUGAUGCAGCAACGCCGCGUGGAGGAUGACGCAUUUCGGUGUGUAAACUCCUUUUAUAUGUCAAGAAAAUGACGGUAGCAUAUGAAUAAGCACCGGCUAACUCCGUGCCAGCAGCCGCGGUAAUACGGACGGGUGCAAGCGUUACUCGGAAUCACUGGGCGUAAAGGACGCGUAGGCGGGUUGGAAAGUCAGGUGUGAAAUCCUACAGCUUAACUGUAGAACUGCACUUGAAACUUCUAAUCUAGAGUAUGGGAGGGGGAGAUGGAAUUAGUGGUGGAGGGGUAAAAUCCGUAGAUAUCACUAGGAAUACCUAAAGCGAAGGCGAUCUCCUGGAACAUUACUGACGCUAAGGCGUGAAAGCGUGGGGAGCAAACAGGAUUAGAUACCCGCGUAGUC